AGCCCGCGCCUUCGGGGCGCCGCAGCUCACGCGGGGCCCACAGGCGUCCGCGCUACAAGCCCUCCCUUCCCGCCCCGCGCAUAGAGGCCUGACGGGCAACUUGGGGGUUCCCCUAAGAUGCCUCCUGCCCGAGGCCCAUUUGUUCCGUCUCCUGACUCAGCAACUGUUCCACCACCCGAGGCCAAGUGGCUGUUCUUAAGCUUGAAGACCAGAGACAAGUGGACAUGAUUCCCCAAAUGGGCAGCAGGUUAAAAUCAGAAUGAGUUCAGCCACAAGAAACAUUGGUGGAGAGAGAAGAGUUUUAGAAAAGUUCUGGGACUUGAGGAAAAGAGAUGACAGAGAAAGACCUCCAUAGAGAAUGAGAGCAUCAGUCAACCACAAAGCACAAGGCACAGAGGCUGUCCUCAAAAGAACGAUGGAGUCCAUGAAGGGAAUCCCUGUGGCUUCGAAAGGGUGAUAUCUGACACUGGUAUGCAGGAGUUAGGUGUUACUGCUCCCUGCUAGCACCGUCAUCCAUUAACUUCCUACAUUUGAGAAAAUCUCCAUACUUUGUAAAAAUGUACAACAGUACACCAAACUAUGGGUAUUUUUAGUGCUGCACCCAUCACCUGGCACGUAGUAGUUAAGAAAAAAGAAAAGGGAUAAAUGACUGGAUUAGUGGAGCUUUGGGGAAUGUCUACAUGACAUUUGGACUGUGCCUUGGAUAAAGUAUGAGGAGGGAAGGCUGUUAGAUAUGUAGAUAAAACAACUAUAGGUUAAAAAAAACAGAGAGCAAAAAAGAUUCAGAGUUCAGAGUAGGCAGUGUAUCCAGCACCAUGUAUUUAGGCAUACGUGCCCUGUGCCAUUUGAGGAAUCCUUAGAAAUACUGGGGAAGGAACGACACUGAAUUUCCAUCAGUGGGUUGGGAUGGAAGCUUGUGUAACUGUAUGAGAGUAUCAAAGGAAAGGUUGGCUUCCAGAGGCUGAAAGACUUGGGGAUGUUAGGCAACAUGUAAUAGAUUCAUUUCAGCUAAGCCUCAUAAAUGUGCACUCAGCUUCGCAAGAGUUAUAAAUUACUGACCUAGCUCUUGUCUGCAAAGGGAAAAUGCAAAACGGAAGGUGCACAGUCCGAUUUGAGGUCAAACCAGUGUGCAACUGAACAGAGAAGCCCUACCAGCUGCCUAUGUAUAAAUGCCAUCUGACAGGCUUUUACAUUUUAUGUUGGACCCUUGAAAGAAGAGGAUCCCACUCCACUGGAGACUGAACAUUGUUAUUUGCCAUGGGUGCACAAGGACCCGGAGCAAGUCAUGAAUGGGGCACUAAGUCUGUUCGUGCAGGGGCCCAGAUGGAGAACUAUGUCUGUGGGAGCAGUGUUCCCAGGCACACAGAUGUUCUGCCUUCUCGUAGCUCUCAGAAGGGCUGUCCACUCAGACAUAGCCCCUAUUUUCUCUGUUCUCCGAGGAGGCCCAGGGGAUGAGUAGCAGAAUGGUGGUACCAGGGCUAUGGAAACAUCCUACUCCCAUGUCAGUUAAAAAGCAAAAUGUUGUAUGACAAAGCUUCACUGUAACAAAGGACCAAAACAUCCUUUCUGGAUGUUUCCUCUCCAAGAGUUCUAAGUUUGUUUUUAUAUCUCGGUACACAGUUUGUGCUAAGCACUAGCAGACUGGGCUCAAAUUUUCACGGUAACAAAACUGAGGUGUACAAAUAGUAAAUUACUUUAUUUCUCCAUAACUGAACUGAAUUUGGCCCCCGAGCCAAAUUUCUGCUGAUAGUGGUGAAUUUUAUGUGGAAAUCGAGGCUCACUCUCUCAAAUCAGUGAUUACUUAGUACUUUCAGUUAUAAAUUCAUGCUCUUUUUGGUAACUUCUCAGACUAUCACAAUGUGUCCCCUUCUCUUUCACAUCUCUCUCCAAGGGCCAUCUAUAUUCUGAGUGUGUGUGUGGCAGGGGAGGAGGGUAUACCAUCUUAAGUUUGGAAGAAAGACAUUUAAUCUAGAACAGUGCUUUUCAAAGUGAGGUCCUCAACCCACAAUAUCCGUGCCACCCAGGAACUUGUUAGAAAUGUCAGUACUUGGACCCCAUUCGACAUAGACCUACUGAAUCAGAAACUCUGGAUGAGCGGUCCAGGAAUCUGGGUUCCAACAGGGAGUCCAGCUGCUUCCGACGUUCCCUCACCGUUGAAAGCUUUGGUCCAUAGUGAUCAGCAUCCACCCACCUUGAUUUCUGAUGAGAGGUAUGAUCAUGGCUGGCCUUUGGUUUUGUGGCACCCCACUCAUUGCAUGCGUGACUGAAAAUGCCCUUCUCUGCUCAUGGGCCAAAUAUGUGCUCAUUCUGCUUCCUCCUUAGCUUGACCGGGUGCCAGACUUGCCCGUCUCAGAGCUUGCAACACUCUUACAUGCGGUUCUGUAGCCAUUUCUACUUUCCAACUUGUGUUCCAUGCUCCAUAUAGAGUUUAUCUCAAGAGUUGAGGUCUCCCUACUGUAUCUGGAAUCUGUGAGAUGCAUCUCUUUCCUGGAUUCCCCCAAACAUCAGUGGAGUUUUGAUCAUCUGUACUCAUCAGGGAUUGACCUGAGGAGAGGGCAGGAUGGAAGCCCUGAUUCUCAACCUCCUGAGCCUUAAUUUAUUCUGCUAUUCAUUUCUUUACCUUUCCUCUCCUUCUCCUCCAAGGUCAGGAAGUUGUCUUUUAGUUUGUUUUGUUUUUUUGCUUUAGUUUUGUUCUUUGCUUUUUAGUUUGUUUUGUUUGUGUGCUUCCGGUGGAAAGGAAAAAAAAAAAUCCUGGCUAGACACAUAGACUUCUAAACCUACCCUUUUUGAUAAGACCCAUGCUGUUUAUACAAAUCUCUUUUUUCUCUCUCUAAUAAUGUCCACUUCUAUUAUUGAAAAACUUAACCUGCAAUUCUACUGGCCCAUGAAAAGUUUCAAAACCUUAGCAUUGACUGGUUUUUUGCAUCUUUGUUGCAAUAAUCCUCAUUUUCUUUUAGACAAUGAUACCCCUAACUGAAUAGAGGAAGAUGAAGUAUAAGGAUGUGUAGAAAAGCAAACCCAUUAAUUAAAAUUUUAAGAUAUUAUCAUACCACACCUGAAUUAGAAACACUGAAAGUUUCGUAAGUAUACUACCUGAUUCUAGUCACUUCACACUGAAAUCCUUCUAUUAACUAAUUCUCCUAAAACACUCCUUUUAACAUAUCGUUUUCCUCCUUGGGUUCUUUCAAUAGGUACCUUUUAGCAGAAGUUAUAGACAAAUAUUGAUGCUUAUUCAUUUUCCAUGCACACAUACAAUAUUUGAAAAUGAAUGAAUGAAUUCCAAACCACGACUGACCUGGUCUUUACUCUUGUACUAAACAGUAUUUCUAACAUAUCACUUACUCCCACAAUACUAAGCCUAAUUUACAUCAUAAAGAGAUUUCAUAUUAAAAAUGUAGUCCCCCUUGGUGGGCUCAGCCUAACUCCUGACUCCAGGACCUAGCAUCAAUCUUCAACUUUGGUAAGGAAAAUUUAAGCAACGUCAGACCAAAACUCCAGACUCAGAAUCAAGUCACUCCAAUGGCCCAUCAGGCCCUGUUACAAUAAGGUUUCUGCUUUAUUCUCAAGAAUCAGUCUCUAUCAUAAUUCCCAGUCAUUAUAUGUUUGGCUUUCUUUCUAUUGAAAUUCAGCAAUGGCAGUAACAUUAAGUAUUCAGUGAUACUGUUAUAAUUCAUUGGGGUUUUUCCUUUUUUUUUUUAAUGUUUAUUCAUUUUUGAGAGACAGAGCGUAAGCAAGGGAUGGGCAGAGAGAGAGGGGGACAGAGGAUGUGAAACAGGCUCUGCCCUGACAGCAGCGAGCCCCAAUGCGGGGCUCGAACUCGUGAACCAAACCGCAAGAUCAUCACCCAAGCUGAAGUCAGACAUUCAACCGACUGAACCACACAGGUGCCUCUGGGAUUGUUCAUUUUAUUGGUGCUAUUAAAGUAUUUCCAAUGACAUUUGCAAAUUCAGGUUUUCCUCCCUUCACUAUAGCACUGGUGCUCUGAUGUGACCCAAAAUGUAUUUCAUUUGCUAGGAUUUCACAGGGCUAGAAGACUGAGCCCUCUUUAGUAAUUUAUUCCAACACUAUGGAUUCAAUAAAAUGGUUAUAUCUAAA